UUCUAUCAUUUAUCUUAGUAGAACAGUUCAAUUGAUAUUGUUUAGUAAUGUACUGAUUUGAUACAUAAAUUAAAGAUCAUCAAGAUAUAUAAUUUUAAUUUUUUGAAUCUAGAAUUCAAAUUAUUUAUUAUUGAUUGUAAAAAUGAAUCAAUCAAUUUUUCAGUCUUAUGGAAUCACAAAAUAGUGUCUCUCUCCCAUACCUUCACACACUCGUACAUAUGCACAAUGCACCCACACUAGUAAUAAUAUCACUUUGAGUGGUAGGAAUCGGA
rnacentral:lncRNA from 1 species